UUUAAACAAUAAAUAGGACAUUAUAACUUUAGAGAUUACAAUGGGUUACCAUGGGAACCCAAGUUACAUUAUGCAAAACCGUAAAAACAUCACUAAAAUAAAUAAAACCAAAAACAAGAAGAAAAAGUUUACUUCAGGGUAUUUAACACUAGAAAACACACUUAAAGCGACAGGUCAAGUCUAUAAACUUCUUUUUUCGUUUGCCUUCUCUGGAAAAAUGUAUAAGUUAGGCACGGGUGGUUAAUAGGUAUUUCCAGGCUGCUGAUAAGUUCUGGGCGGGCUGGUUAAUGUUCACCAGGUUCUCUUUAUCCUUAUUUACGUAAAUUUCCAUAGCUUCCGCCAAGGGCGCAUGUCUAUCCUUUUCUAGCAUUCUUACUAGCUUUGCUUGCUCCCAGUCAAUCUGUACAUUGUGCU
rnacentral:lncRNA from 1 species